UUAAAGUCACAACGGUAAAAGAUGAGCAUGCGUCCCAUUAGCUAGUUGGUAAGGUAACGGCUUACCAAGGCUACGAUGGGUAGGGGUCCUGAGAGGGAGAUCCCCCACACUGGUACUGAGACACGGACCAGACUCCUACGGGAGGCAGCAGUGAGGAAUAUUGGACAAUGGGCGCAAGCCUGAUCCAGCCAUGCCGCGUGCAGGAUGACGGUCCUAUGGAUUGUAAACUGCUUUUAUACGAGAAGAAACACUCCGACGUGUCGGAGCUUGACGGUAUCGUAAGAAUAAGGAUCGGCUAACUCCGUGCCAGCAGCCGCGGUAAUACGGAGGAUCCAAGCGUUAUCCGGAAUCAUUGGGUUUAAAGGGUCCGUAGGCGGUUUAAUAAGUCAGUGGUGAAAGCCCAUCGCUCAACGGUGGAACGGCCAUUGAUACUGUUAAACUUGAAUUAUUAGGAAGUAACUAGAAUAUGUAGUGUAGCGGUGAAAUGCUUAGAGAUUACAUGGAAUACCAAUUGCGAAGGCAGGUUACUACUAAUGGAUUGACGCUGAUGGACGAAAGCGUGGGUAGCGAACAGGAUUAGAUACCCUGGUAGUCCACGCCGUAAACGAUGGAUACUACUGUUGGGAGCAAUUUCAGUGGCUAAGCGAAAGUGAUAAGUAUCCCACCUGGGGAGUACGUUCGCAAGAAUGAAACUCAAAGGAAUUGACGGGGGCCCGCACAAGCGGUGGAGCAUGUGGUUUAAUUCGAUGAUACGCGAGGAACCUUACCAAGGCUUAAAUGUAGAUUGACCGGUUUGGAAACAGAUCUUUCGCAAGACAAUUUACAAGGUGCUGCAUGGUUGUCGUCAGCUCGUGCCGUGAGGUGUCAGGUUAAGUCCUAUAACGAGCGCAACCCCUGUUGUUAGUUGCCAGCGAGUCAUGUCGGGAACUCUAACAAGACUGCCAGUGCAAACUGUGAGGAAGGUGGGGAUGACGUCAAAUCAUCACGGCCCUUACGCCUU
rnacentral:rRNA from 1 species